ensembl:lncRNA
GAGAAAGGCUUUCUUUCCGUGAUACCAUAGCCUCACAGGACAGCCUGCGUUCCGUGAAGACACUUGGAUGCCUGGAACUGCUGCAGCCACCUUAUGACCAUGAGGAGCUGGGACUGGGUAUGGUGGAGCCCCUGAGUUAACCAGCCCUGCAGCCAGCAGGACUACUUUUCAAAGAGAUCAACUCCUUGCUGUUUAAGUCACUUUGAGUUCAUUAUUCUCUUUCUUGCAGCCAAAUGCAUUCUAAAUUGUAUUUACUUUUCUCAUUUAUUCAGUGAGGAUAAUACCACCAGGAUCUUGUGUGGAUAAAAUGAGAUGAAAGAUUUGUAGAUGCUCAAGCAUCCAUGACAGUGCCUUAUUACUGCAGCAGCCUGAAAACUGACAGCUUUAAAGAUGAGGAAGUGUUGUGGGGAAGCCAUCAGUCUCACUGUAAACCACUGAUAGAUGACUCAACUGAAUACUCAAGGGGCUUUUCUACUGGGCCGCCCUCCCACUUGGCCACGCCCAGCCAGAGGCCUGAGAACUGCAGCGUGAAGGGGCCAGAACCGCGGAGGUAAAAGGCCAGGGGUGAAGCUGAGGCUCACGCACAUCCCCGCUCAUUAUGAACUGUUGUACGCUUUACAGGAGGGACCACAUUCUCGUAUCUGUGAACGCUCCCUUACUUGUUAAACUAAAGAAAUACAUCCUCCUCGUCAUUCUCCUCAAAGGAUCCUUUUAUACAACGGUACAUUUUUCUCGUUUGCAGAUUGUCAUGAGCUCAGGGUCUUUCAUGUGUUUGCUCUAAUGAGUCACAUUAUUAGAUGGCCAAAUUGUCAGACUUGUCGUGUGAACACCUUUAGGAUGGCCCUGGUAUUCUUGAAAGCAUUCUUCCUUUCUGGCAACUGUAAAGAUGAUCCAGAACUGUAAAGAUGAUCCAGAACUGAUUUCCUCCUGCCCCAACACAGGAAAUCCGUGGAGUCCUGAUUCCAUUAAUAGAGAACAAGUGUUAAAGAUCAAAAUCCAGGCUGGGUGCAGUGGCUCAUGCCUAUAAUCCCAGGACUUUGGGAGGCCGAGAUGGGCAGGUCACCUGAGGUCAGGAGUUUGAGACAAGCCUGGCCAACAUGAUGAAACUCUGUCUCUACUAAAAAUACAAAAAUUAGCUGGGUGUGGGGGUGGGCACCUGCAAUCCCAGCUACUCGGGAGGCUGAGCCAGGAGAAUCGCUUGAACCGGGGGGCGGAGGUUUCAGUGAGCCGAGAUCAUGUCACUGCACUCCAGCCUGGGCAUCAAGAGCAAGACUCCACCUCAAAAAAAAGAAAAAAAAAAAAAAAAAGAAAAGAAAAACAUAGCCGGCUGCAAUGGGACUUACUCUUCGUAGUGACAAAGCUGGAAACAUUUCUUUUUGAGAUUAUGAAUUUAUAUAGAUAGUUUGAAUUCAGCAUAAUGCCUCGCUGAACCUCACUUUUAAAAAAAAUAGGUCAUCAUUUCCAUGAUCAAGACUUUUGGUUCCCCAACAGGACCAAGGUGCCUUGAGGAAGAAUCAAGGGUAGUGUCCGCCCCAGGGAGUACAAAAGCACAGG